rnacentral:lncRNA from 1 species
GAGAUAGUAUAAAUUAUAAGUGUAACGCCCUAAUAGUCCCGCAUCGGAUGAUUAAAAUAUAUGAGGCCUCACAUGUUAAUAAUAAUAAUUGGAUUUAAAUAUUAUGGGUCGGUGGUUUGGAUCCGACGAGUUAUUAUUGCUAGCAGAUUAGAUCGUUAUAAUUAGUAUCAGAGUUAAAUGUCAACUAAAAGUGCGAGAGUUAAGUGCCAUACGAGAUAAAGUGUUAUACCAACAGAUUUGGUAGGAACCAUCUCUUGAAUCCGUAGGACCCAUCAUGUGUAUGAUCUGGAUUUAAACCUGACGAGAAUCUCACAAACUAAUAAUAAUUAUUAGGCUUAAGCAUUUUGCUAGCAGACUAGAGUGGACCACACUAGAUUGGCCAACCCUAUGGCUGCAUUU